rnacentral:rRNA from 1 species
CGGACGGGUGAGUAACACGUGGACAAUCUGGCCCCCCGGCCCGGGAUAGCCCAGGGAAACCUGGAUUAAUACCGGAUGAGACGGGACCCGCGAUGGCGGGAUCCGGGAAAGGCGCUGCGGCGCCGCCCGGGGGAUGAGUCUGCGUCCCAUUAGCUAGACGGCGGGGUAACGGCCCACCGUGGCGACGAUGGGUAGCCGGCCUGAGAGGGUGGACGGCCACAUUGGAACUGAGACACGGUCCAGACUCCUACGGGAGGCAGCAGCUAAGAAUCUUCCGCAAUGGGCGAAAGCCUGACGGAGCCGACGCCGCGUGAACGAAGAAGGCCGUGAGGUUGUAAAGUUCUUUUCGGGAGGGGGAACAACCGUGGCAGGGAAUGGCCGCGGGAUGACGUGAAUCCCGGAAUAAGCCCCGGCUAACUACGUGCCAGCAGCCGC